rnacentral:rRNA from 1 species
UGAGGAAUAUUGGGCAAUGCCCGCAAGGGUGACCCAGCAACGCCGCGUGGAGGAUGAAUGUCGUAAGAUUGUAAACUCCUGUUAGAGGGGAAGAAUAGUACCGGUUGGACCGGUAUAUGACUGUACCCUCAGAGAAAGCAUCGGCUAACUUCGUGCCAGCAGCCGCGGUAAUACGUAGGGGGCAAGCGUUGUCCGGAUUUACUGGGUGUAAAGGGCGCGCAGGCGGGAUAAAAAGUCAGUGGUGAAAUCCUACAGCUUAACUGUAGAACUGCCUUUGAUACUUUUAUUCUUGAGUUCGGGAGAGAGAGACGGAAUUCCAGGUGUAGUGGUGAAAUACGUAGAUAUCUGGAAGAACACCAGUUGCGAAGGCGGUCUCUUGGUCCGACACUGACGCUGAGGCGCGAAAGCGUGGGGAGCAAACA